rnacentral:rRNA from 1 species
UACGAAGGGGGCUAGCGUUGUUCGGAUUUACUGGGCGUAAAGCGCACGUAGGCGGAUCGAUCAGUCAGGGGUGAAAUCCCAGAGCUCAACUCUGGAACUGCCUUUGAUACUGUCGAUCUGGAGUAUGGAAGAGGUGAGUGGAAUUCCGAGUGUAGAGGUGAAAUUCGUAGAUAUUCGGAGGAACACCAAUGGCGAAAGCAGUCUACUGGACUAACAUUGACACUGAGGCACGAAAGCGUGGGGAGCAAACAGG